rnacentral:lncRNA from 1 species
UGGAAAUAUUCUUUAUAAAGCACAAAGGUGUCAGUAUUCACCUCAUAAACUUACAAAACCUUUGAAUAGACUUAUUAAGAAGGGAUAUAAUUACGAUACUGUUGUCAAGUCAUUAAAGAUUGCAUAUUUUGGCGUUAAUAUUGAGUCACUGAUAAGGUCUUUGCGUCGGAACUAAACACAUUUAUUCUAAAAACAGUUGUUGGCAUGACACGGGUUAUGUUCUUCUCAUAUAUGUUAUGAUGGUAUGAUACUAAACCCCUUACGGGAAGGAUUGUGCCUGAUGUUCAUAUGAUGAAAUCAUAAUCUUUCAGUCAGUUUAAUUGAAGUCUGGAGCUGGCAUGUCAGUUAACUGCUAGUAGUCUGUUGUUAUUUAUGUAUUAUUGUCAUUUUGUUUAUUUUCUUUGGUUACAUCUUCUGACAUCAGACUCGGACUUCUCUUGAACUUAAUUUUAAUGUGCGUAUUGUUAUGCUUUUACUUUUCUACACUGGUUAGAGGUAUAGGGGGAGGGUUGAGAUCUCACAAACAUGUUUAACCCCGCCGCAUUUUUUGCGCCUGUCCCAAGUCAGGAGCCUCUGGCCUUUGUUAGUCUUGUAUUAUUUAAAUUUUAGUUUCUUGUGUACAAUUUGGAAAUUAGUAUGGCGUUCAUUAUCACUGAACUAGUAUAUAUUUGUUUAGGGGCCAGCUGAAGGACGCCUCCGGGUGCGGGAAUUUCUCGCUACAUUGAAGACCUGUUGGUGACCUUCUGCUGUUGUUUUUUAUUUUGGUCGGGUUGUUGUCUCUUUGACACAUUCCCCAUUUCCAUUCUCAAUUUUACCUAGA